rnacentral:rRNA from 1 species
GACGAACGCUGGCGGCGUGCCUAAUACAUGCAAGUAGAACGCUGAAGGAGGAGCUUGCUCUUCUGGAUGAGUUGCGAACGGGUGAGUAACGCGUAGGUAACCUGCCUGGUAGCGGGGGAUAACUAUUGGAAACGAUAGCUAAUACCGCAUAAGAGUAGAUGUUGCAUGACAUUUGCUUAAAAGGUGCAAUUGCAUCACUACCAGAUGGACCUGCGUUGUAUUAGCUAGUUGGUGGGGUAACGGCUCACCAAGGCGACGAUUCAUAGCCGACCUGGGAGGGUGAUCGGCCACACUGGGACUGAGACACGGCCCAGACUCCUACGGGAGGCAGCAGUAGGGAAUCUUCGGUAAUGGACGGAAGUCUGACCGAGCAACGCCGCGUGAGUGAAGAAGGUUUUCGGAUCGUAAAGCUCUGUUGUAAGAGAAGAACGAGUGUGAGAGUGGAAAGUUCACACUGUGACGGUAUCUUACCAGAAAGGGACGGCUAACUACGUG